rnacentral:rRNA from 1 species
AGGAUGGCAGGCAAAUCCACCGUCCGAGCUGAACUUGAUAGUAUGGAGUCUUCUUCGGAAGAAUCCAAUAGUGUGGGUAAUCAUACUCCCGAGAAAAUCCGCUAAGCUUAACCCAUGCGGCACCCGUACCGCAAACGGACACACGUGGUCGGGUAGAACAUACUGAGGCGUUGAGAGAUUCAUGGUUAAGGAACUAGGCAAAUUGACCCUGUAACUUCGGGAUAAAGGGUCCCCGUGAAGAGCGAGGCGCAGAGAAUAGGUCCAGGCAACUGUUUAACAAAAACACAGGGCUGUGCAAACUCGAAAGAUGACGUAUACAGCCUGACACCUGCCCGGUGCCGGAAGGUUAAGAGGAGAUGUCACACUUAUGUGGAAGCAUUGAAUUGAAGCCCCGGUAAACGGCGGCCGAACGAUAACGGUCCUAAGGUAGCGAAAUUCCUUGUCGGGUAAGUUCCGACCUGCACGAAUGGUGUAAUGAUCCGGACGCUGUCUCAACCAUGAGCUCAGUGAAAUUGUAGUAUCGGUGAAGAUGCCGAUUACCCGCGAUGGGACGAAAAGACCCCGUGAACCUUUACUACAGCUUAGCAUUGACCUUGGUCAUCCGAUGUGUAGGAUAGGCCGGAGGCUUCGAAGCGGGAGCGCCAGCUUUCGUGGAGCCAUCCUUGAAAUACGGCCCUUUGGCUGUCUGAGGUCUAACGCGCGAUGCGCGGACACUGCUUGGUGGGUAGUUUGACUGGGGUGGUCGCCUCCAAAAGCGUAACGGAGGCUUCCAAAGGUGCCCUCGGGUCGAUUGGUAACCGACCUCAAAGAGUGCAAUGGCAUAAGGGCGCUUGACUGGGAGGCAGACAUGCCGAGCAGGCAGGAAACUGGGGCAUAGUGAUCCGGCGGAUGUGUAUGCAAACUCCGUCGCUCAAAGGAUAAAAGGUACUCCGGGGAUAACAGGCUGAUCCCCCCCAAGAGCUCAUAUCGACGGGGUGGUUUGGCACCUUGAUGUCGGCUCGUCACAUCCUGGGGCUGGAGAAGGUCCCAAGGGUUGGGCUGUUCGCCCAUUAAAGUGGCACGCGAGCUGGGUUCAGAACGUCGUGAGACAGUUCGGUCUCUAUCUAUCGUGGGCGUGGGAGUUUUGCGUGGUGCCGUCACUAGUACGAGAGGACCGUGAUGGACAGACCUCCGGUUUACCAGUUGUGCCGCCAGGCGCACCGCUGGGUAUCUGAGUCUGGAUUGGAUAAGCGCUGAAAGCAUCUAAGUGCGAAGCCAGCCGCAAGAUGAGAACUCCAUUGAGAGUCGUCAGAGACGAUGACGUUGAUAGGACGCAGGUGUAAAGACAGCGAUGUCAAAGCCGAGCAUUACUAAUUGCAC